rnacentral:ncRNA from 1 species
AGAAACUUAUGAAAAAUUGGUCUAAAGGCAGUGGCGCAAAGUCGCAGGGUCUAAGGCGCUCAGAAAGCGCUAGGAUAGCUUGGUUGCUAAAA